rnacentral:rRNA from 1 species
GACGGAGGGUGCUAGCGUUGUUCGGAAUUACUGGGCGUAAAGGGCGCGUAGGCGGUCCGACAAGUCAGGGGUGAAAUCCUGCAGCUUAACUGCAGAAGUGCCUUUGAUACUGUCGGUCUUGAGGGAGAUAGGGGUGUGCGGAACUCACAGUGGAGCGGUGAAAUGCGUUGAUAUUGUGAGGAACGCCGGAGGCGAAAGCGGCGCACUGGAUCUCUUCUGACGCUGAGGCGCGAAAGCUAGGGGAGCAAACGGG